GCUUGUCUCAAAGAUUAAGCCAUGCAUGUCUAAGUACAAGCCUCAGUAAGGUGAAACCGCGAAUGGCUCAUUAAAUCACACCUAAUCUACUGGAAAGUUACUAGUUACUUGGAUAACUGAGGUAAUUCUUGAGCUAAUACAUGCGAAAAAUCUCGACUCACGGAGAGAUGCUUUUAUUAGAUCAAAACCAAACGGCUUCGGCCGUCUCAUUGGUGACUCUGAAUAACUUUGGGCUGAUCGUAUGGCCUUGUGCCGACGACGUUUCCUUCGAAGGUGUGCCCUAUCAGCUUUCGUUUUUUGUGUAGUGGACAAAAAAGGCUUUGACGGGUAACGGAGAAUUAGGGUUCGAUUCCGGAGAGGGAGCCUGAGAGAUGGCUACCACAUCCAAGGAAGGCAGCAGG
rnacentral:rRNA from 1 species